UGGAACCCUCCUAAAAAAUGGGUGCCAAGAGACAUAACUGGUGUUGUGGGAACAGAAUUGGGAAUCAAUUCAGAGCUCCAGUUACCUUACAUGAACUUUUAGAAUCCAAUCUCAUGUUGAUUCACAAGCUACUGCCUACUCCCAUUGGGAUGAACCUUACUUUGGUAAAGCAACCAUUACUUCAUCAAGAUCUAAUAGAGAUCCUAGGAAAAAUCAAGGAGAAUGGACAGAAAACUCUGUCCUGAAGACUCCACGACGACACCAUGGAACCCUGCUGAUGAAGAUCUUUCGAGGGCAAUCGUCACUCACGGGGUGGUGUAAGAGCCCGUCUGAAGCCCCUCAUUUUCCAUUCUGCCUUCCGAUUGCCACAAGAAAGAAUCCCUUCCUCCACUGCAGUUCCGGCUUAGAACAGGACACAGUGCAGGUGCAACCACUGAACCGUCAUGCUGGCUGAUCCCAACAAGGCCUGGUAAGAACUUGGCAAGGACUUGGCAAGGACUUGGCAAAGACCUGACGUGGACCCAGCACGGGGCAGCCUGAUGCGCGGCCUGCUUCUAAUCUCCGUUCUUAAGCCAAAUGAACUUUUGGGGUGACUCCCGGGGUCCUUCAUUGAAGACCCCUCAUCUGCCUCGUUACCAGUGUGACAAACAAAGAAUGAGAACCCUCCUCCCAAGGACUGAGACUGAGACCCCUGCUAUAGAGAGGAGGGGAAAUUGGUGGUCUGACCACUAAUGACAUGACCUGUUUCCCUUCAGUGAUUCAAAUGGACUUAUUCUUCAUUGGAUUCGUCUUG